GAUGAAGAACGUAGCGAAAUGCGAUAAGUAAUGCGAAUUGCAGAAUUUCCGUGAGUCAUCGAAUCUUUGAACGCACAUUGCGCCCACUGGUAUUCCGGUGGGCAUGCCUGUUCGAGCGUCAUUAUCCUCCCUCAAACCCCGGGUUUGGUGUUGGACCCAAGUUGUGUGAACAACUGGUCUCAAAGACAAUGACGGCGUCCGUGGGACCCUCGGUGCAACGAGCUUUUAGGAGCACGCAUCGAGUUGCAAGGACCUUCCGGGCCGGUCUCCUUUACCAUUUUACAAGGUUGACCUCGGAUAAGGUAGGAAUACCCGCUGAACUUAAGCAUAUCAAUAAGCGGAGGA
rnacentral:misc_RNA from 1 species